GAUCAUCAUCCUCUUAUUCUCUUCUUCUUCUCUAAGAGGGUCUUGAAAGAAAUGAACAGUUUUCAACCAUCAAGAUGCGAUCUCUAUAAGGAAGCUAGUACUCCGAUGAGAUCAAGAAACUUCUGAUUAGAUUGAAGUCUCAUGUGGAUACCUAUAGAAGUCGGAUACUUGUGCGAUUUCAAGGGACCUUCGGAAGAUAUCGAUGAUCAUCAGUUCGUGGUGUAAAUCGACCCUCGCCA
rnacentral:lncRNA from 1 species